rnacentral:rRNA from 1 species
GACAGAGGAUGCAAGCGUUAUCCGGAAUGAUUGGGCGUAAAGCGUCUGUAGGUGGCUUUUUAAGUCUGCCGUCAAAUCCCAGGGCUCAACCCUGGACAGGCGGUGGAAACUACCAAGCUGGAGUACGGUAGGGGCAGAGGGAAUUUCCGGUGGAGCGGUGAAAUGCGUAGAGAUCGGAAAGAACACCAAUGGCGAAAGCACUUUACUGGGCUAUUACUGACACUGAGAGACGAAAGCUAGGGUAGCAAAUGGG